GAAAAACAACCUGUGUCAACUUGUGCAUGUAUAUCUUAAUCUUCUAUUCAAAGAGAGACGUAGAUAAAUGGAUAGAUACAGAGAACAAAUCGUGACGUACAUGAAUUGUACAAAACCUUCUCUUUUCUUCCUUUUCGGACGCGGAAAACAAACAUAAACACACUCCUUUUCAGACACAACACCUCAACCCCACACGGAGAAAGAUGUUUCCAAGAAUCAACCUAAAUUAUGAGUCGUAAGGUUUAUAAUCUAUAAUUUUAGCUACCAUUGUCCUUGUCCUUUUUCCGUUAAUUUUUCUGUAUCAUUGUUUUCAACUAAACUGUCUUUUGCCCUCUUUCUUAAUCUUACGGACCCUUCCAAGUUCACCUCUUGGCUCUUGUCAUUCUUUCCAAAGGCCCACAGAUUAUAAAUUAUACAAUUUUAGAGGUUUUUUUUUUUUUUUUUUUCUGGGCAUUGUUACUUUUUAGUCGUUCAAAAAUUCAGUAAGUUGUUUCGAGGACUUGUCCAUUGUUUAUUUGAAUGUGGCGAUGAUGGAUCUGCGAAGGUGUUUACUUUUGCUUUUGUUGCUGUUUUCGGCUCAAUUAAUUUGCUUGGUGAAGGGGAAUGUUGUGUUUAAAGUUCAACACAAAUUCAGAGGGCGUGUGCUGGGGAGAUCGGCUCUUAGUGCAUUUCGAGCCCAUGAUUCUUUCCGGCACGGCAGAAUGCUGG
rnacentral:lncRNA from 1 species